GAGUACACGUGAGUAACCUGCCCUUAACUCUGGGAUAAGCCUGGGAAACUGGGUCUAAUACCGGAUAGGAGCGUCCACCGCAUGGUGGGUGUUGGAAAGAUUUAUCGGUUUUGGAUGGACUCGCGGCCUAUCAGCUUGUUGGUGAGGUAAUGGCUCACCAAGGCGACGACGGGUAGCCGGCCUGAGAGGGUGACCGGCCACACUGGGACUGAGACACGGCCCAGACUCCUACGGGAGGCAGCAGUGGGGAAUAUUGCACAAUGGGCGAAAGCCUGAUGCAGCGACGCCGCGUGAGGGAUGACGGCCUUCGGGUUGUAAACCUCUUUCAGUAGGGAAGAAGCGAAAGUGACGGUACCUGCAGAAGAAGCACCGGCUAACUACGUGCCAGCAGCCGCGGUAAUACGUAGGGUGCGAGCGUUAUCCGGAAUUAUUGGGCGUAAAGAGCUCGUAGGCGGUUUGUCGCGUCUGUCGUGAAAGUCCGGGGCUUAACCCCGGAUCUGCGGUGGGUACGGGCAGACUAGAGUGCAGUAGGGGAGACUGGAAUUCCUGGUGUAGCGGUGGAAUGCGCAGAUAUCAGGAGGAACACCGAUGGCGAAGGCAGGUCUCUGGGCUGUAACUGACGCUGAGGAGCGAAAGCAUGGGGAGCGAACAGGAUUAGAUACCCUGGUAGUCCAUGCCGUAAACGUUGGGCACUAGGUGUGGGGACCAUUCCACGGUUUCCGCGCCGCAGCUAACGCAUUAAGUGCCCCGCCUGGG
rnacentral:rRNA from 1 species